GGAAAGGGUAUUCAUAUAGCAGUCUAAUUGCCAGUGUCUGUCUUCGCGGGCGUUUUGCCAACUUUUACACUGGCCACUGAAUGGCACCCUAGCACUAUGAAUUUCACUUUGUAAUAUUUACACUUUGCUUUACUUUCUCUAUAUUCCUAUGCCUGUCUAGUUAGUUUACCAAGGAGAGAGGCUUUUUAAUUUUAUAUACAUGGCAGUUCAUUUUUGACUGACCAUUUGUUUCUACUACUCCUUUUUCUGUACUUUCCAUUUGGGUCUCUCCCCAAUGGACUACUCUGGACUUUCAUUUCCUGUAUAUAUGUAAGGUCUGCUGUCUUGCAAGAUCUCCCUCCAUAUAUGGUUUGAUUUUAUAUAAACCAUCUGUGGUAAUUGCAUAUACCUUCAGCAGACAUAUAUUCCAUUGAUUUCACUAUAUAAUACGGAUACAGGACAUUUGUGGGUUUUUUGCACUUAGGAAGACAGACACUGGCAAUUAGACUGCUAUAUGAAUACCCUUUCCUAUUUAGUAUAUGUAUCUCAUU